rnacentral:rRNA from 1 species
UACGGGGGGGGGGCAAGCGUUGUUCGGAAUUACUGGGCGUAAAGGGCGCGUAGGCGGUCUACUAAGUUGGAUGUGAAAACUCUGGGCUUAACUCAGAGCCUGCAUUCAAAACUGAUAGGCUGGAGUUCUGGAGGGGAUAGCGGAAUUCCUGGUGUAGCGGUGAAAUGCGUAGAUAUCAGGAGGAACACCGGUGGCGAAGGCGGCUAUCUGGACAGAAACUGACGCUGAGGCGCGAAAGCUAGGGGAGCAAACAGG